GACGAACGCUGGCGGCGUGCUUAACACAUGCAAGUCGAACGGUGAAGGGACCAGCUUGCUGGUUCUGGAUGAGUGGCGAACGGGUGAGUAACACGUGAGUAACCUGCCCCCUUCUUCUGGAUAACCGCAUGAAAGUGUGGCUAAUACGGGAUAUUCUGGGUCUGUCGCAUGGCGGGCCCGGGAAAGAUAUUGCUUCGGUGGGAUGGGCUCGCGGCCUAUCAGCUUGUUGGUGGGGUGAUGGCCUACCAAGGCGGUGACGGGUAGCCGGCCUGAGAGGGUGGACGGUCACACUGGGACUGAGACACGGCCCAGACUCCUACGGGAGGCAGCAGUGGGGAAUAUUGCACAAUGGGCGCAAGCCUGAUGCAGCGACGCCGCGUGAGGGAGGGAGGCCUUCGGGUUGUAAACCUCUUUCGCCAGUGAAGCAGGCCUGCUCCUUGUGGGUGGGUUGACGGUAGCUGGAUAAGAAGCGCCGGCUAACUACGUG
rnacentral:rRNA from 1 species